rnacentral:ncRNA from 1 species
CGUGUGGGCGGCUUGGUCGCUGUGUCAAGUUACCACAGGGAAAACUGGCAUGUGGCAGCCAAGCGUUCAUAGCAGCGUUGCUUUUUUAUCCUUCGAUUGCGGCUCUUCCUAUCAUCGAGCGCAACCAGAGGCAAACAAAUUGAGUGUAUGACGUGGGUCGAAUAGCGGGUCAGGUGUGUGAAGAAGCUAGUCGAACAGCUUAGUU